CAAACGUUGGCAGAAAACAAAUGAUGAGUUGCACUUUUAACUUUGCUGUUGUCAUCAGUUUGGUCAGUCUAAUGGUCAACCUAUUGAAGUUUCAGUUCAACUGAACUUAAAUUGGAUUUUAUUGGAUUCAUUUCUGGCUAUUGAACUGUGUUCAUCUGAUGAAACAAGAAAUGUUUUAAAGAGACUAAAGUAAAAGGUCAGAUGUGCUGUUGAUGGUUAAUGUUAAUGGAUAGUAAAUCAAAGUUGGCCAGUGUCUUCAGUUAAGAUAAAUUGACUUGGAAAUUAUUGAUGAAUCCUUUUGAUAUUAACUCAUCAACAGCAUCAAUUUUAACCCAUUAUUAAUUAAUAUCCAGUUUUGCACGAUGAAACAUUGAUCAUGAUUAGACAAUAAUCAGAGUAAAUGUAUUUUUGUGUGUGUUUUAAUGUGAAAAGGUUAACAUUGAAAGCUGUGGCCUUAAUAAUGUGAUAAUCAAAACAAGGGAUUGAACCAGGAUAAAGGAUGGAAAGUGAUGAGCUUGAAAAUGAUGGAAAAGUUGAAAGAAGGGAAAAACUGAUGAUUAAAGAGGGUUGGAUGUUUAAUGAUGUUGGAUGAUAAAGGAUUGCUCGCAAGAAGAUGAGAAGAGAAAAGAGGAAUCUUUAGAUUCUGUAAGGUUGACUGGUUAGCAAAGGCCUACAAGAAUAAUGAACAAGUAUGAAUGAUGUGAAUGGUUGAACGUAAUUGUCUGAGCAAGAGAUGAGAUGAAUUGAAGAUGAAACAAAAAAAAGAGAAGAGAGAAUGUAGAAAGGAAAGAAAGAGUAAAGAUGAAGAUGAAGAAUCUGUUGGGAAAUUGAUAUAACAGUUGAUGAAAGUUGCCUUCUUUUUUUGGACCUUUUUCAUGAGAAUUGGAAGGAAAAGUUUCACAGACACAAUCAUCAUGAUAAUGACGAAGAUGAAGAUGAGGAAAAAGUCGUAAAAAGUCGUUUUGGGUUCAUCAAUUGAAUAACAAUGGAUUGACAGUUGCGACAAUCUUUUACCAAUUGACUUUUAAUUGUGUCGCCAUAUUUUGCCUUUUUGACUUGUUCACCUAAAUCAUUAUUGCUUUCAUCUUUAGUUGGUUGAAUCCGGGCCAAAUUGAUUUUGUUUAAGCACAGAAUUAUUAAAUAAUAUUUGGUCCCCUUCAACCAGCUGUAGAUAAGCAUUCAGUCAACAUCUUGCUUGGUUAUUGAUUGGUAAAUACUAAAUGAUAUGAGCAGCAGCAAACAACUUGAUUUAUCAUUUUUUCACAUUUUUCCCUUUUUCCUUGCUUUUACCAGUUUUUUUUGUGUGUGUCUUCAGCUUAAUGUGUAAUAUCAAUUUUUGUAGCAACUCUCUUAGGAUAUGUAAUGAUCACGCAAUGUGAAAAUGUAUAAUUAGCAUUUGAUAAUAAUCAUUAUCUUUGUAUUUUAGGUGUGAAAUGUAAGAUCACAUUUAACCUUGUUUUUCAUGUUGCCAGUCUCAUGUUUGUGAUUAACUUUUAUUUGGUCAUUUGGGUUUGAUCAAUCUUUUCUGGUAAACUUGCUUGUCUUUUCUGGUUUUUGUUAUCAUUGGUUGGCUUUAUCUGGAUGGAGUUGCCAGUUUGGAGUAGCAAAUGGUUGCGAUUGAAAAAUAGCGAUUUACUUUGGUCGAUUAGCCUUAAUUUGCUUAAUUCAUCAUUACUCUGAUUAACUACAAUUAUUUUGCCUACACUUUAUUGCAUCGAUUAGUAAAUCUAUUGAUUAAGUUAAACUUUCAAUUAGAUGCUUUUGUCCAGUUUCAUUCAAUUAACCAGAAAAAAAUAAUCUGGUCCAAGGUGAGUAACUCAACAUUAAACCUUUUCUCUGUGUUUUUGCCAGGUUUCCUCUUUCAGGUCAAGUUUAAGUUCAAUUACUAAUCAAAUAAAUUGAUCAACAAUUGAAUUACAAAUUAAUUAAAUGAUUCAAAUGAUUAACAAUCACAACUUAAUAAUCUAAACCUGAGUUCAACUGCAAUAACAUUAAACUUGACUUUAAACAAUAAAACUUUAAAUUGGUAAUCAUUUCAUUUUUAGGUUCAUUUUAGGUUCCAUUUUAGGUUCAAUUGCGGAUGGAAUGGAAUCAUCUUUAAAUUAAGUUCAAGGAAAUAAAUUGUUGGUUCAACAUUGAAGUCAACUUUGGUUGUAAAUUGGAUGCUCAAGUGUGCGAAACCAGAAAUCAAAGUGUUGCCAUUCCUGAAGAGGUGGAAGUUGUUGAAAAUUAUUUUAAGAAAUGAUUGAAACUUGGCUUGAUAAGCAUAUUAUUUCCAUGAUUAUAUCAAUUGUGAUUAAAGUUAUCUUAAGAACGUCCUUUAUCAUCAACUUUUCCAUGAAAGUUAUUCACAGAAUUGCUUUUAGUUUCAUUUCAAUGUUUGCUUUGCUGACUUUUUCCUUCUGUCACUGAUUUACACUUUUCUUUGCAUAAGCUACUUAAAAAAUUAUCAUGCAGUUGACAACAGCUUGUGGCUCGGAAUAAUUUCAAGCUUAAAUGAGUCCUUGAUACAAUAUUUAAAUACAAUGGGUUAACACACAUCACUCUUUGCUCUCCAAUGGAUCCAUUUUCAUCUUAACUGGUUAGAGCGUUUCCAUCCACAGCAAUCAAAAUAAAUGUUUACUUAAAUGUACACCUUUGAAGAGUAAAGGUUUCUUUCAUGAUAAAAUUAGACUUGAUCCAGUUGUUUGCCAUAGUUUUUGCAACCUAAUAUAUUUAUAAAAUUGUUGGGUUGAUUGAAAGGUAGAGUAUUAAUAUACAUGUUUAUAAAUAUAAUAAAUAUGGCAGUUAAUUAAUAGAGAGAGAGAGAGUAAAUGUUGAGAAGCGUAAUUAAUUGACUUACUGAGAGAGGGAAUUUAAGAUGCAAAUGGAAUGAUUAGUGAAGGUGAAGAAAGGUUAUUCAAGUGUGUUCAUUAUCUUUAAUCAAGUUUAUACUCCCAGAUUGGAUUGGCUGAUGCAAUCAAUAGGAAGUUGAUUGAAACAGAAGAAGAACUGAAGCUAAAUUCCGGUCUAAGCUUAAUACAUAAAGAGUGUUCACAGAGGCAAACGGAUUUCCUUUCAAAGCUAUUCACAUUCAAUCAGGGUUUAUAGUGAACAGUUUAAUGCCAAACUAUUCAUUCUGCGAAAUCCUAAUCAUGAUGGUGACGGUGAUAGGUAAACAUGACAACGAUUCACACUGACAAUUUCAUUAUUUUCAUAUAUAAACAGGUUUAAUCAUUCAUCGAGAAUUGCAUUACAAUUUUUGCUCGCCAUCCAUCAGGUCAACUUGGAAUCUUUUUUAUCCAAUUCAGUUUAAUAAGCGCGUAAAGUUUAAAGGUAAUCAAAAUUAAAGACUGAUUUUAUUCGGUUUAUAAUUCAUUUAUUCCGGUCAGUUUGAUUACAUUAAAGGAAAUUGAAAGUCUUAACUGGGUGAUAAAAAAUUGGUUUUAGGGGUUAAUAGAGAAGUUAAAUGAAGACCAUUCCUUGGCAAAAUAGACAAGUAAGUUUUCAUCAUUAUUAUUGCAUAUUUUCAUAAGAUUUCAUUAGUUUGGAUUUUUAAUAUUUUUUAUUCCAAUUUAGAGGCUAAUCUCAACGCUUCUGGAAGAAACGUUUCUACCAUGCUGGAUACAAGAUUGGGCAAUUCUUUGACACCUAAAUUUUAUCGUUCAAAACCAAAAACUAAUAAACUGAGUAAAAAAAUAAAAUUUCGGAUGAUAUCGAUAGAUCAGUAAAUCAGUAAACUAGUAAACUAUUAGAAGUUUCAGAAUGACUGAUUUUGAUAUAAAAGUUUAUCCGGAGGCACCAUAAAUGAAGAUGACGAAGAUUGUGAUCAUAUUGACGAGCUACUAUCUUCAAUAGUCCAUAAAAUUGAGUCAGGAAAUGAAAAAUCAAUGGAUGGCUGGGAUAAUGAAGACAUUUGGAAGGACGAAAAGCGCUUGAUAAAGAUACAGAACUACUGCAAACCAGAAAUAAUGAAGAUAAUUGGUUAGAUGCCUAAUCAAGACCGACUAAUAAAGCUGAUUUGUUAAGUCAAAGUCAAUUUUGAGUACCAAAAAUAUCCAAUCUCGUGAUCGUGUUGAAACAAAGGAAUCGAGAAGGAAUGGUCAAGAAGAUAAAAGAGACCAAGACUUAAAAAGGUCAAACAAAAAAGGUCCGAUGAGUUAGCAGCACAGAAAAUCACUUACCAAGAUUACAAUAUGUAAUCUAUGUAAUACUUUAUAUAUUGAAGGAUAAUUUAAUUUACCAAUAGUCAACGUAUUGAGAAAUAGAUUAAAUUCAUUUGAAUACAAGAAAAUAUUAUAAUUAUAUUUUGUGGGAUUGAGUGUUACAAUAUUGAUGCUGUUGCUAUUUGUUUUCAACUCUUUUGUCUAGGAAAAGAAAGUUUACGUUCUGAUCAAUUGUAUUCGGUCUCAAAUUGCUAGCCAUCGUUUUAAUCGAUUCAAUCGUAUGAUAAAAUAUACGUGAAUCACCGAAUCAACAAAAUCCAGUUUCUUUUUAAUCUUUGCAGAUAUCAAGUUGGUAAUCCCGUCUGACAGUCGGUCUGAUGUUUGAUGAAGCUUUCAAUGGUCGUUUAAUCAGGAAUUUGUUACCUUUGACAGCUUGCUUGUCGUUGUCAAUUUGUCUUUUCGAAGUAGCACCCUUAUCUUUUGUACCCUCUCGUUUAUUAGCUUCAUAGCCCAAUGACUCGUCUUGCGAAUUAGAUUCCUCAGAACAUUCAGGUGGAAUACGUUUGAUGCAAGCCUUUUUCACUGAAUUACGGAUUAUCAUCUCUGCUUCUUCUGCUGAUGAAGAGUCUGGCGUCACUCUCUUUUUGAAAUUUAUUUUUUCGUGGUUUCUUAAACAUUUUAAAAUAUCUAACAACCCAAUUGAAAACGAAACACUAAUAAUUAACUGAAUCUAAUUAUCACAUGUAGCAACAUGAGAAAUGUCAACAAACAAACAUAUGGUAAGACAAAUAGGAUCAGAUCUUGGAGUCGAUAUGUAUCUACUGGUGGUAAAGGUAUUCAGUGAAUUCACUUUUCAAUUGACAUCAGCGUUUAAAGCCUAGAUCAAAGUUUUUUUUUCUCAUUGUUAAGUUUAUUUUUUUUGAUUAAAGUUUGAAUUAUAUUGCAUAAAAUGUGGUCAUUUCGGUCGAGAAACCCAACUAAAGAUUCUCCCAUGAUCUAGAAGAAAUUUAUUUGUAGACAUCUAGGAAUCAAUAUGGACAAUCCAGAAGAAAAAGAAAAAGGGCUCUAAAUAGAGAAGCUGUUACAAUUGUCCGAUUUCAAUGUAAACCAGGAAUGGAACAUUUAUUGGAUGAAGUUCCAGCUAAAUCAGCUUUGAAACGAAUCAAAACACUUACGACAUCCGUCUUUUUUAACUUAUGUUGACUCACUCGAAAAAGAUGGAAUAGUUUCUAUUGUUACUGAACCAGAUGAACCUCUUCGUUCAUAUCUCGAAUCAGCAGAAAACUUUAUUGGAAAAUUGAAGGUCUGAUCUAAGAAAGCCUUCGUCCUACAAUUACCAACCAGCUUUGUAAUCGUGAAAAUAUGCACGAAUGCUCUGUUCUGUGUCAAUCAACUAUGGCCCAAGAUAAGUUCAGCCUGUAAUCGAGCCUUCAAAGUUUUAAAGGAUUUAAAAUAUGAUCUCAACGCUUCUGGAAAACGACGUCUCUCCAACACUAGACAACAGAAAAUUAGUAAACUAGUAGAAGCCCUGAAUUCACAAAUUCUGAAUCAGCAGUUCAUCAAUUUUUUUUGCAAAAACUGUACAAGAAAAAUGUGACCUUUCUACCUAGACUCACUUUUGAAAUAGAGAAUUUUAAUUUUUCCAAUUUUAAUUUGAUCUUUUAUAAACACUCCAACGAUUGUUUAUUUAUCAACUUUUGACUGGUUAUAUUAAAAUAAUCACCAGCUAUUCCAAAAAAUCGCGAGACUACUGUAUUGAGAGUAAAUAAGAAGUUUCAUUAAAGGAAGAUAACGAUGGUUGGGA